rnacentral:sRNA from 1 species
AAAGAGUUGUUAAUGCUACAUUUAGUUUAAGUUCCUUCUCAGUAACACCUUGAAUCUCUGAUUCAGAUACCUGCGUAAAACUUCCUCUUGAUUGCACAUUCAAUAGCUUAAAAAAAGAACCAACCAAAAACGUAUAUUAUUGUUUAAAUUCAGAGGUUUUUAUGUCUAAAGUAACUGGUUCAGUAAAAUGGUUUAACGAAUCUAAAGGUUUCGGUUUUCUAACUCAAGAUGAUGGCGGCAAAGAUGUAUUCGUACACUUCAACGCUAUCGUUUCUGACGGUUUCAAAACGUUGGCUGAAGGUCAGAAAGUAAGCUUCAAAGUAGAAGAAGGCCAAAAAGGUCCUCAAGCUACUGAAGUGACUCCUUUAUAAGAGUCCUUUCUUGGUGCAGUACUCCUUUGCUGCACCAAACA